GCGAGGGUAGCCAAGCGGUCAACGGCGACGGACUCAAGAUCCGUUCGUGUAGACGUUCGUGGGUUCAAUUCCCUCCCCUCGCA
rnacentral:tRNA from 1 species